rnacentral:tRNA from 17 species
GCGGAUGUGGCGGAAUUGGUAGACGCGCUAGUUUCAGGUACUAGUGGUGGCAACAUCGUGGGAGUUCAAGUCUCCCCAUCCGCACUA